rnacentral:rRNA from 1 species
CUUAGUGGCGAACGGGUGAGUAACGCGUGAGGAACCUGCCUCAAAGAGGGGGACAACAGUUGGAAACGACUGCUAAUACCGCAUAAGCCCACGACCCGGCAUCGGGAAGAGGGAAAAGGAGCAAUCCGCUUUGAGAUGGCCUCGCGUCCGAUUAGCUAGUUGGUGAGGUAACGGCCCACCAAGGCAACGAUCGGUAGCCGGACUGAGAGGUUGAACGGCCACAUUGGGACUGAGACACGGCCCAG